rnacentral:lncRNA from 1 species
CCGGCAGGGUAUACUUAUAAAAUAUCUUAUCUGUGGUAUUAAAAAUACAAUAUUAGAUCAAAUGUCCAGGGGACGAAUUGGUAUUUAAAGAUAUAAAAACACAUGUUUCGGUCCCCACAAAAUGGCAGACGACAAAGUCUCCGUAAAUAAACAAUUGCAGUUGAAGUAUUUUCCUAUGUAUAUCAGGCAUAUCAGACGUUUAAAUAUGAAUAUUUGGUUACAAGAAAUGAUCCUUAAUACGGGAAUUACAUGAUAUAUAGCA